GUUUAUGUGGCAAGGUUUUGGUAGCAGGGGGCCAUAGGAGUGGCUUCUGUGAAAAGGAUCUAAAAGCUGCCCCAUGUUAGGUAAGGGCCCCGGUGCUGACCAGAGCCGAGCCAAUAAGCGAUGUUACACAGAUUUCUAGGUUGGAAGAGACCUCAAGAU